CCUACGGGAGGCAGCAGUGGGGAAUUUUGGACAAUGGGCGCAAGCCUGAUCCAGCAAUGCCGCGUGCAGGAUGAAGGCCUUCGGGUUGUAAACUGCUUUUGUACGGAACGAAACGGUCUGCUCUAAUACAGUGGGCUAAUGACGGUACCGUAAGAAUAAGCACCGGCUAACUACGUGCCAGCAGCCGCGGUAAUACGUAGGGUGCGAGCGUUAAUCGGAAUUACUGGGCGUAAAGCGUGCGCAGGCGGUUAUAUAAGACAGAUGUGAAAUCCCCGGGCUCAACCUGGGACCUGCAUUUGUGACUGUAUAGCUAGAGUGCGGCAGAGGGGGAUGGAAUUCCGCGUGUAGCAGUGAAAUGCGUAGAUAUGCGGAGGAACACCGAUGGCGAAGGCAAUCCCCUGGGCCUGCACUGACGCUCAUGCACGAAAGACGGUGGGGAGGACGAAACAAGGAGUUAGAUACCCUACGGUAGUCCACCGACCCUAACCGACUGUCAACUGGUUGGUUGGGUUCGUUCUACU
rnacentral:rRNA from 1 species